rnacentral:rRNA from 1 species
AAAGUGACUUCGGUCAUGAUUAAAGUGGCAAACGGGUGAGUAACACGUGGGAAUUUCCCCUUCAGUUCAGAAUAGCCCUUGGAAACGAGGAGUAAUACUGAAUACGAUCUACGGAUGAAAGAUUUAUCGCUGAGGGAUAAGCCCGCGCUAGAUUAGCUAGUUGGUGAGGUAAUGGCUCACCAAGGCUACGAUCUAUAGCUGGUCUGAGAGGAUGAUCAGCCACACUGGGACUGAGAUACGGCCCAGACUCC